CUUGAACUUUAUAAGAGGUCCAGCCUGCCCAGUGACUCUGUUCAACGGCCGCGGUAUCCUAACCGUGCGAAGGUAGCGUAAUCACUUGUUCUUUAAAUGUGGACUAGUAUGAAUGGCACUACGAGGGUUAUACUGUCUCCUUUUUCUAAUCAGUGAAACUAAUUUUCCCGUGAAGAAGCGGGAAUACAACUAUAAGACGAGAAGACCCUAUGGAGCUUUAAACGACCUAGCAAUUACUUCUAAAAUUAUAAAUUUCAGAAUACUCAUUCUUUAAGCAAUAUGUCUGCAAGUUUUUGGUUGGGGUGACCAUGGAGAAUAACACAACCUCCAUAUUGAAUGAAUUUUUAUUCUAAGCUAAGAAUUACUAAUUAAAGCAUCAACACACUGACAUUUAUUGACCCA
rnacentral:rRNA from 2 species